CAAGGGGAGUGAAAUAGUAUCUGAAACCAAAUGCUUACAAGCAGUCGGAGCAAGCGUAUUUAUAUGUCUUGUGACGGCGUACCUUUUGUAUAAUGGGUCAGCGACUUAGUUUAUCUAGCAAGCUUAAGCCGUUAGGUGUAGGCGUAGCGAAAGCGAGUCUGAAUAGGGCGACUGAGUAUGUAGCAUUAGACCCGAAGGCAAGUGAUCUAGGUAUGGGCAGGGUGA
rnacentral:rRNA from 1 species